rnacentral:rRNA from 1 species
AAUCCAUAGGUUAAUGAGGCGAACCGGGGGAACUGAAACAUCUAAGUACCCCGAGGAAAAGAAAUCAACCGAGAUUCCCCCAGUAGCGGCGAGCGAACGGGGAGGAGCCCAGAGCCUGAAUCAGCAUGUGUGUUAGUGGAAGCGUCUGGAAAGGCGCGCGAUACAGGGUGACAGCCCCGUACACAAAAGCGCAUGUGCUGUGAGCUCGAUGAGUAGGGCGGGACACGUGGUAUCCUGUCUGAAUAUGGGGGGACCAUCCUCCAAGGCUAAAUACUCCUGACUGACCGAUAGUGAACCAGUACCGUGAGGGAAAGGCGAAAAGAACCCCGGCGAGGGGAGUGAAAAAGAACCUGAAACCGUGUACGUACAAGCAGUGGGAGCACAGGUUUACCUGUGUGACUGCGUACCUUUUGUAUAAUGGGUCAGCGACUUAUAUUCUGUAGCAAGGUUAACCGUAUAGGGGAGCCGGAGGGAAACCGAGUCUUAAUUGGGCGUUAAGUUGCAGGGUAUAGACCCGAAACCCGGUGAUCUAGCCAUGGGCAGGUUGAAGGUUGGGUAACACUAACUGGAGGACCGAACCGACUAAUGUUGAAAAAUUAGCGGAUGAUCUGUGGCUGGGGGUGAAAGGCCAAUCAAACCGGGAGAUAGCUGGUUCUCCCCGAAAGCUAUUUAGGUAGCGCCUCGUGAAUUCAUCUCCGGGGGUAGAGCACUGUUUCGGCUAGGGGGCCAUCCCGGCUUACCAACCCGAUGCAAACUGCGAAUACCGGAGAAUGUUAUCACGGGAGACACACGGCGGGUGCUAACGUCCGUCGUGAAGAGGGAAACAACCCAGACCGCCAGCUAAGGUCCCAAAGUCAUGGUUAAGUGGGAAACGAUGUGGGAAGGCCCAGACAGCCAGGAUGUUGGCUUAGAAGCAGCCAUCAUUUAAAGAAAGCGUAAUAGCUCACUGGUCGAGUCGGCCUGCGCGGAAGAUGUAACGGGGCUAAACCAUGCACCGAAGCUGCGGCAGCGAACGUAUCACCCAAGACAACUUUACGGAGUUGACGAUUGACGGAGCGAAGCGACGUCAAAGCGUUCAUUAAAGUCGAGUUGGCUUAGGGAUACGUUCGUUGGGUAGGGGAGCGUUCUGUAAGCCUGUGAAGGUGUGUCGUGAGGCAUGCUGGAGGUAUCAGAAGUGCGAAUGCUGACAUAAGUAACGAUAAAGCGGGUGAAAAGCCCGCUCGCCGGAAGACCAAGGGUUCCUGUCCAACGUUAAUCGGGGCAGGGUGAGUCGACCCCUAAGGCGAGGCCGAAAGGCGUAGUCGAUGGGAAACGGGUUAAUAUUCCCGUACUUGGUGUUACUGCGAAGGGGGGACGGAGAAGGCUAUGUUGGCCGGGCGACGGUUGUCCCGGUUUAAGCGUGUAGGUGUGUGUUCCAGGUAAAUCCGGUUCACUUUAACACUGAGGCGUGACGACGAGGCACUACGGUGCUGAAGCAACAAAUGCCCUGCUUCCAGGAAAAGCCUCUAAGCAUCAGGUAACAUCAAAUCGUACCCCAAACCGACACAGGUGGUCAGGUAGAGAAUACCAAGGCGCUUGAGAGAACUCGGGUGAAGGAACUAGGCAAAAUGGUGCCGUAACUUCGGGAGAAGGCACGCUGACACGUAGGUGAAGUGAUUUACUCAUGGAGCUGAAGUCAGUCGAAGAUACCAGCUGGCUGCAACUGUUUAUUAAAAACACAGCACUGUGCAAACACGAAAGUGGACGUAUACGGUGUGACGCCUGCCCGGUGCCGGAAGGUUAAUUGAUGGGGUCAGCGCAAGCGAAGCUCCUGAUCGAAGCCCCGGUAAACGGCGGCCGUAACUAUAACGGUCCUAAGGUAGCGAAAUUCCUUGUCGGGUAAGUUCCGACCUGCACGAAUGGCGUAAUGAUGGCCAGGCUGUCUCCACCCGAGACUCAGUGAAAUUGAACUCGCUGUGAAGAUGCAGUGUACCCGCGGCAAGACGGAAAGACCCCGUGAACCUUUACUAUAGCUUGACACUGAACAUUGAGCCUUGAUGUGUAGGAUAGGUGGGAGGCUUUGAAGUGUGGACGCCAGUCUGCAUGGAGCCGACCUUGAAAUACCACCCUUUAAUGUUUGAUGUUCUAACGUGGACCCGUAAUCCGGGUUGCGGACAGUGUCUGGUGGGUAGUUUGACUGGGGCGGUCUCCUCCUAAAGAGUAACGGAGGAGCACGAAGGUUGGCUAAUCCUGGUCGGACAUCAGGAGGUUAGUGCAAUGGCAUAAGCCAGCUUGACUGCGAGCGUGACGGCGCGAGCAGGUGCGAAAGCAGGUCAUAGUGAUCCGGUGGUUCUGAAUGGAAGGGCCAUCGCUCAACGGAUAAAAGGUACUCCGGGGAUAACAGGCUGAUACCGCCCAAGAGUUCAUAUCGACGGCGGUGUUUGGCACCUCGAUGUCGGCUCAUCACAUCCUGGGGCUGAAGUAGGUCCCAAGGGUAUGGCUGUUCGCCAUUUAAAGUGGUACGCGAGCUGGGUUUAGAACGUCGUGAGACAGUUCGGUCCCUAUCUGCCGUGGGCGCUGGAGAACUGAGGGGGGCUGCUCCUAGUACGAGAGGACCGGAGUGGACGCAUCACUGGUGUUCGGGUUGUCAUGCCAAUGGCACUGCCCGGUAGCUAAAUGCGGAAGAGAUAAGUGCUGAAAGCAUCUAAGCACGAAACUUGCCCCGA